rnacentral:rRNA from 1 species
AAAUUGAAGAGUUUGAUCAUGGCUCAGAUUGAACGCUGGCGGCAGGCCUAACACAUGCAAGUCGAGCGGAAACGAGUUGUCUGAACCUUCGGGGGACGAUAACGGCGUCGAGCGGCGGACGGGUGAGUAAUGCCUAGGAAAUUGCCCUGAUGUGGGGGAUAACCAUUGGAAACGAUGGCUAAUACCGCAUGAUGCCUACGGGCCAAAGAGGGG